GGGGGUAUAGCUCAGUGGUAGAGCAUUUGACUGCAGAUCAAGAGGUCCCCAGUUCAAAUCUGGGUGCCCCCUUUGGAAUAGCUCAGUGGUAGAGCAUAUGAUUGCAGUUCAAGAGGUCCCCAGUUCGAAUCUGGGUGCCCCCU